AAUCACACUUAUUUCCAGGAAAGAGUUAGCAGUAUUGAUAUAGUCCAGGGACUCCUAGAAACACCUGUUGUGUUGCUUUGGUGAGCAGAUGCUGUUCAUCUUCCAUGGCACCUGUAUUUUAUCUGCAUGGAGAUGAGCUCAGCCAGAGUACUUCUCAGAGAGGAUACCACGUGGAUGCAAAUAAGAGCAGAGAAAGCACCGAGUAGUUACAAUGGUCCUUGUUGGGUGUUUGGAGAAGCUAAUUAUUUGAGAGAGAAACAAGCCUAGGAAAGACUUUUGGGAUUAGGUGAAAAGUGUACCCUUGCAGGGAGCAAGAAGCCAUGCCAUGCCCAGGCUUUCGAUCGCUCCACCACAGGAUAUCAUUGUCCACAGGCCUUAACUUUAGUUCUUGAUUUUUCCAACCUCUCUUUAAAGUUUAUUCUUAUUUUCCAAA
rnacentral:lncRNA from 1 species